UACGGAGGGGGCUAGCGUUGUUCGGAAUUACUGGGCGUAAAGCGCACGUAGGCGGCUUUGUAAGUUAGAGGUGAAAGCCCAGGGCUCAACCCUGGAAUUGCCUUUAAGACUGCAUCGCUUGAACAUCGGAGAGGUAAGAGGAAUUCCGAGUGUAGAGGUGAAAUUCGUAGAUAUUCGGAAGAACACCAGUGGCGAAGGCGACUUACUGGACGAUUGUUGACGCUGAGGUGCGAAAGCGUGGGGAGCAAACAGG
rnacentral:rRNA from 1 species